UCCAGUCUACUUGUGGAUUUGUACAUAACUACAGAUAAUGCUCAAAACAAAACAGGCAGUGCGGGCAUAUAGCCUGGUCGGCAGAGCACCCGCUAGCUGAGAGGAAGCCGAGGUUUGGGCUGAGCUGCAUGAAACUGACCUUGGCGACACAUGCCAGUUACCCCACCAUGCAGGAGGAUGUGCGGAAGAGGAUAUGUAUGAACCCAAAGUCAAACAAAUAAUUGACAAAUCAAAUUGAAACCAUCAAGUUCACACUUAAAGCCCUGCCUGAGACUUGAAGCUUCUUUCCUGGUUGUUUGGAUUCUAAAGCAUUCUUAGGAGCCUCCUGCUGCGAGCCCCCUGGGAGCUCAGACUUACUUCCACAUGUCCCCAGGGCAAAGGAAAAUGUAAAGAAGCUUCCUUUCUCUUCUCCAAAUUCUGC